rnacentral:rRNA from 1 species
ACUUAAAUUGAAGAGUUUGAUCAUGGCUCAGAUUGAACGCUGGCGGCAGGCCUAACACAUGCAAGUCGAGCGGUAGCACAGAGAGCUUGCUCUCGGGUGACGAGCGGCGGACGGGUGAGUAAUGUCUGGGAAACUGCCUGAUGGAGGGGGAUAACUACUGGAAACGGUAGCUAAUACCGCAUAACGUCGCAAGACCAAAAGUGGGGGACCUUCGGGCCGUCAUGCCAUCAGAUGUGCCCAGAUGGGAUUAGCUAGUAGGU